rnacentral:rRNA from 1 species
AUGAAUGCUUGGCAGUCUCGUGCUGAUGAUUACUCCCUCGUUCAGUGCGGCAUGCUUUACAGCUUAGAACCGGGGCUCCAAAAGCGUUUUGAGCAUCACGGAGCAUAUGAGAUGUUCGAAGAGCUGAAACUAGUUUUCCAAGCUCACGCCCGGGUCGAGAGAUAUGAUGUCUCCGACAAGUUCUACAGUUGUAAGAUGGAGGAAAACAGUUCUGUUAGUGAACACAUCCUGAAGAUGUCUGGGUUGCACAACCGUAUGACCCAGCUGAAUAUUAACCUCCCAGAUGAGGCGGUCAUUGACAGAAUCCUCCAGUCGCUCCCACCAAGCUAUAAGAGCUUUGUGAUGAACUACAACAUGCAGGGGAUGGAAAAUACCAUUCCUGAAGUGUUCUCAAUGCUGAAGUCAGCAGAGGGUGAAAUCAAGAAAGAACAUCAAGUGUUGAUGGUCAAUAAGACCACUAAGUUCAAGAAGGGCAAGGGUAAGAAGAACUUCAAGAAGGAAGGCAAGGAGGUUGCCGCGCCUGGUAAGCCAGUUGCCGGGAAGAAGUCAAAGAAUGGACCCAAGGCUGAGACUGAGUGCUUUUAUUGCAAGGGGAAGGGUCACUGGAAGCGGAACUGCCCCAAAUACUUAGCGGAUAAGAAGGCCGGCAACACCAAAGCAGGAGCUGCGGAAUAA